rnacentral:rRNA from 1 species
CAGUCGCCGCGGUAAUACGAAGGUCCCGAGCGUUGUUCGGAAUCACUGGGCGUAAAGGGAGCGUAGGCGGCGUGGUAAGUCAGAUGUGAAAUCCCGGGGCUCAACCCCGGAACUGCAUCCGAUACUGCCAUGCUAGAGGAUUGGAGAGGUAGCUGGAAUUCUUGGUGUAGCAGUGAAAUGCGUGGAGAUCAAGAGGAACACUCGUGGCGAAAGCGAGCUACUGGACAAUAACUGACGCUGAGGCUCGAAGGCCAGGGUAGCGAAAGGGAUUAGAUACCCCGGUAGUCCCUGUCUCUUAUAC